rnacentral:rRNA from 1 species
CCUGCCGUUGCCGGCGACCGGCGCACGGGUGAGUAACACGUAUGCAACCUGCCCGUGGCAGGGGGAUAAGCGGGGAAAACCCCGUCUAAUACCGCGUAACGCGGCCUAGGGACAUCCCAAGGCCGCCAAAGGGAGCAAUCCCGGCCACGGAUGGGCAUGCGGCGCAUUAGCUAGUCGGCGGGGUAACGGCCCACCGAGGCGACGAUGCGUAGGGGUUCUGAGAGGAAGGCCCCCCACACUGGUACUGAGACACGGACCAGACUCCUACGGGAGGCAGCAG